UACAGGGGGGGCAAGCGUUGUUCGGAAUUACUGGGCGUAAAGGGCUCGUAGGCGGCCAACUAAGUCAGACGUGAAAUCCCUCGGCUCAACCGGGGAACUGCGUCUGAUACUGGAUGGCUUGAAUUCGGGAGAGGGAUGCGGAAUUCCAGGUGUAGCGGUGAAAUGCGUAGAUAUCUGGAGGAACACCGGUGGCGAAGGCGGCAUCCUGGACCGAGAUUGACGCUGAUGCGCGAAAGCCAGGGGAGCAAACGGG
rnacentral:rRNA from 1 species